AUUCCAGCUCCAAUAGCGUAUAUUAAAGUUGUUGCAGUUAAAAAGCUCGUAGUUGGAUUUCUGGCAGGAGCGUCCGGUCUCACACUCAGUGCGGGAACUUGGAUGUCUCUGGCCAUCUUUGGGGAUAUCCUGUUUGGCAUUAAGUUGUCGGGCAGGGGACACCCAUCGUUUACUGUGAAAAAAUUAGAGUGUUUAAAGCAGGCUUAUGCCGUUGAAUAUAUUAGCAUGGAAUAAUAAGAUAGGACGUAGGCACUAUUUUGUUGGUUUGCGCACCCACGUAAUGAUUAAUAGAGACAGGCGGGGCUAUUCGUAUUGCAUUGUCAGAGGUGAAAUUCUUGGAUUUCUGCAAGACGAACUACUGCGAAAGCAUUUAGCAAGGAUGUUUUCAUCA
rnacentral:rRNA from 1 species